rnacentral:rRNA from 1 species
GAUGAACGCUGGCGGCGUGCCUAAUACAUGCAAGUCGAGCGAACGGACGAGAAGCUUGCUUCUCUGAUGUUAGCGGCGGACGGGUGAGUAACACGUGGAUAACCUACCUAUAAGACUGGGAUAACUUCGGGAAACCGGAGCUAAUACCGGAUAAUAUUUUGAACCGCAUGGUUCAAAAGUGAAAGACGGUCUUGCUGUCACUUAUAGAUGGAUCCGCGCUGCAUUAGCUAGUUGGUAAGGUAACGGCUUACCAAGGCAACGAUGCAUAGCCGACCUGAGAGGGUGAUCGGCCACACUGGAACUGAGACACGGUCCAGACUCCUACGGGAGGCAGCAGUAGGGAAUCUUCCGCAAUGGGCGAAAGCCUGACGGAGCAACGCCGCGUGAGUGAUGAAGGUCUUCGGAUCGUAAAACUCUGUUAUUAGGGAAGAACAUAUGUGUAAGUAACUGUGCACAUCUUGACGGUACCUAAUCAGAAAGCCACGGCUAGCUACGUGCCAGCAGCCGCGGUAAUACGUAGGUGGCAAGCGUUAUCCGGAAUUAUUGGGCGUAAAGCGCGCGUAGGCGGUUUUUUAAGUCUGAUGUGAAAGCCCACGGCUCAACCGUGGAGGGUCAUUGGAAACUGGAAAACUUGAGUGCAGAAGAGGAAAGUGGAAUUCCAUGUGUAGCGGUGAAAUGCGCAGAGAUAUGGAGGAACACCAGUGGCGAAGGCGACUUUCUGGUCUGUAACUGACGCUGAUGUGCGAAAGCGUGGGGAUCAAACAGGAUUAGAUACCCUGGUAGUCCACGCCGUAAACGAUGAGUGCUAAGUGUUAGGGGGUUUCCGCCCCUUAGUGCUGCAGCUAACGCAUUAAGCACUCCGCCUGGGGAGUACGACCGCAAGGUUGAAACUCAAAGGAAUUGACGGGGACCCGCACAAGCGGUGGAGCAUGUGGUUUAAUUCGAAGCAACGCGAAGAACCUUACCAAAUCUUGACAUCCUUUGACAACUCUAGAGAUAGAGCUUUCCCCUUCGGGGGACAAAGUGACAGGUGGUGCAUGGUUGUCGUCAGCUCGUGUCGUGAGAUGUUGGGUUAAGUCCCGCAACGAGCGCAACCCUUAAGCUUAGUUGCCAUCAUUAAGUUGGGCACUCUAAGUUGACUGCCGGUGACAAACCGGAGGAAGGUGGGGAUGACGUCAAAUCAUCAUGCCCCUUAUGAUUUGGGCUACACACGUGCUACAAUGGACAAUACAAAGGGCAGCGAAACCGCGAGGUCAAGCAAAUCCCAUAAAGUUGUUCUCAGUUCGGAUUGUAGUCUGCAACUCGACUACAUGAAGCUGGAAUCGCUAGUAAUCGUAGAUCAGCAUGCUACGGUGAAUACGCUCCCGGGUCU